GGACACGAGUUUUUCCGUCAACAUCCCUCAGAACUGGAUCAAAUGUCAAAUGGUCCAUUACGAAGAGUUCAUCUCUUGAGUUGAAGUAACUGUACAGACUAUUGGCUUCUUGGAAUAAGUCAUCUUACCUAAUAAAUAUUGUUCAAAGCUGUAAUAUUUGGUGAAGAGUUCGUGAGGUCUCAUGAAGUAGGAUUAAUAGUGAGGAGAAAAGACUCUGUGAUUGCUCUCCAAAAAGUGACGAUUUUUCCGUAAAUAUCUUAAGAAAACAUACCAACAUGAAGGCUCUUUUCUAAAAAAGUGUCUGGACAAUCAAGUGAAAAUCUUCUUCAAGAUUAAAGACAAAAAGUUUUUCCUACUACGCAGUCUCGAGAACCAGGAGAAGUUGAAGGUUAUCCGAAUUGAUGCUAUUAUGAGGAGAUUGACGCAAACAAUUACUUUUUGAGAUUGUUUUUAUUGCCCAUAUGAAUUUUAACAGUAUAUCUGUUAAUAAUUCCGUUACAAACUUUAAGCACAAAGUUCAUGUAUGAACAGUCUUAAUACGAAAUGAUUCCAAGGUUUUUAUCUAGUUGCCAUGAAUUGCCGUCGGAGAGCCAUUCUUUAAUAUCAUUAGGCCGAGGAGAAUCGUAGAUACUGCGUCUUUCAGAGAAGUAAAGGAUUUUAACAAUGAAGAUUCGAUCAAGGUAGGAACUUCAGUCUUAUUUUCAUUCAUGGCCAGACUUUUAAAUAUAACUUCCAUGUAUCUUUCAUUUU
rnacentral:lncRNA from 1 species